rnacentral:lncRNA from 1 species
UUUCAAAGUCGCUUUCAGGCACUAGUACACUUUACCCCAGUCAUCACCUAAGUAUGCAUGUAACUAACUACAGGUCAAUUCCAAGUUAUUCUCACUUUUCCAGAAAAAGAAGGUGCUAUUCUAUUUUUUCUUUUUUCUUCAUAGGUGAAUUUAACCUCUUCUAGAAUUUGGCUUUGUUUUACUCAGUAAAAUGUUCUUGGGAUGCAUCAAUGUUGCUGUGUUUAUAAGCAAUUUGUUCUUUUUUUGUUACUGUCAUUUCAUUGAAUUUAGUAUAUCACAGCUUGUUUAAUCAUUCUCUUGGAUUGAUGCUAUGUUUUGGCUGUUAUGAAUAAAGCUACUAUGAGUAGUGUUGCA